AGUUGGGCAGUAGUGUCACAGCAGCCUCAGCUGUGUGUUCAGAGUUUGGCUUCACUACCCACUGACAACACAAAACCCUGUCAAGUCUGAGGCUGGAGCAGUCUUGAGACAAAAUCAGGUAACAUAGCAUGGGAUGUGCUUGUCAGCUCCAUAUCCUGGUGAAUUGGUAGCAUCCUAGUGAAUUUUCUUUACUACUACAAAGAAAAACAAUAUUUCUGUUAAAUUCUGCAAAAAUACUUUUGUGGUGUUUUUAUUUUUCCAUGGGCUACCUGCUGAAUUAUGUCAAGGAAAGCAAGACUUAUUAAAGUCAGAGAAGUUAGUGCAGUAUGGACUGCAGUAAACUUAAUUUUAAAUACUCUGAAAAAUCUUGACCUGAUUCUGAUUUUGCUAUUAACUGUUGACAUAGUCAUAUUUCACGUGUGAGGGAUUUGAAUCCACCUUGUAUUUUCAAAUAAUUUAACUAAUGCAUUUGCAUCAAGUACCAUAGGUCAUUCUACACCCUCUUGUUUCCCUUUGGAUCACUGUGCACAAUUAUCUGUUGAUCUUGCUUUUCUUUCCAUCUCUCUCUGAAUCUCUGUGAUGCCAAUAAAGCACAUCACAUCUGGUUUGCAGUCAGAACUUUGUUUCCUUGGUAAGACUGUGGGAAUUCUUCCCCUAUGCAUGUUACUUACAAUUCAGUGGCCUAUUUUAUGGACCUCCAGCUAAUUCUUGUUCUGCCUGAAAAUCAAUUUGAAUUUGAAGAAUGAGGACCCAGCCCUGUUUCCUGACACAAGAGGGAAGUAGAGGUGCCUGUGAGUGUAAAUACUCUGCCAAGCAGCGGGGUGGCAAGAAGCAGAGGUAAGAGAAGCAGGGGUUCUUCACUGCACCGAAGUUUGUUGCAUCAUGACAAAAAAAAGUGCGGCAGACUUCAUCCACCCACUUGCCCUGGGCUGACUGGGACAGGAAGACACAGUUUUCCCUCUUGCCCCCGUUGGGCUGGGCACGGUCCCAGUUGGAGUACUGCAGAGCCAUGCCAUUGACAUCCACAAACCUCC